rnacentral:rRNA from 1 species
GGAUGAACGCUAGCGGCAGGCCUAACACAUGCAAGUCGAGGGGUAACAUAAAGUGCUUGCACUUUGAUGACGACCGGCGCACGGGUGAGUAACGCGUAUACAAUCUGCCUCAUACUAGGGGAUAGCCCAGAGAAAUUUGGAUUAAUACCCUAUAGUAUCAUUUAGAGUCAUCUCUUUAUGAUUAAAGGCUACGGUAUGAGAUGAGUAUGCGUUCUAUUAGUUAGUAGGUGAGGUAACGGCUCACCUAGACCACGAUAGAUAGGGGCCCUGAGAGGGGGAUCCCCCACACUGGUACUGAGACACGGACCAGACUCCUACGGGAGGCAGCAGUGAGGAAUAUUAGACAAUGGGCGAAAGCCUGAUCUAGCCAUGCCGCGUGCAGGAUGACGGCCCUAUGGGUUGUAAACUGCUUUUAUACAGGAAGAAAAAACUCUACGUGUAGAGUCUUGACGGUACUGUAAGAAUAAGGAUCGGCUAACUCCGUGCCAGCAGCCGCGGUAAUACGGAGGAUCCAAGCGUUAUCCGGAAUUAUUGGGUUUAAAGGGUCCGUAGGUGGACAAUUAAGUCAGAGGUGAAAUCCUGCAGCUCAACUGUAGAAUUGCCUUUGAAACUGGUUGUCUUGAGUCAUUAUGAAGUGGUUAGAAUGUGUAGUGUAGCGGUGAAAUGCAUAGAUAUUACACAGAAUACCAAUUGCGAAGGCAGAUCACUAAUAAUGUACUGACACUGAUGGGCGAAAGCGUGGGUAGCGAACAGGAUUAGAUACCCUGGUAGUCCACGCCGUAAACGAUGGUCACUAGCUGUUCGGACUUCGGUCUGAGUGGCUAAGCGAAAGUGAUAAGUGACCCACCUGGGGAGUACGUUCGCAAGAAUGAAACUCAAAGGAAUUGACGGGGGCCCGCACAAGCGGUGGAGCAUGUGGUUUAAUUCGAUGAUACGCGAGGAACCUUACCAGGGCUUAAAUGUAGAGUGACAGGUCUAGAGAUAGAUUUUUCUUCGGACACUUUACAAGGUGCUGCAUGGUUGUCGUCAGCUCGUGCCGUGAGGUGUCAGGUUAAGUCCUAUAACGAGCGCAACCCCUGUUGUUAGUUGCCAGCGAGUAAUGUCGGGAACUCUAGCAAGACUGCCAGUGCAAACUGUGAGGAAGGUGGGGAUGACGUCAAAUCAUCACGGCCCUUACGUCCUGGGCUACACACGUGCUACAAUGGUAGGUACAGAGAGCAGCCAAUGCGUGAGCAUGAGCGAAUCUAUAAAACCUAUCUCAGUUCGGAUCGGAGUCUGCAACUCGACUCCGUGAAGCUGGAAUCGCUAGUAAUCGGAUAUCAGCCAUGAUCCGGUGAAUACGUUCCCGGGCCUUGUACACACCGC